GAACGCGAAGAACCUUACCAGGCCUUGACAUCCUAGGAACCCUGAUGAAAGUCGGGGGUGCCCGCAAGGGAACCUAGAGACAGGUGCUGCAUGGCUGUCGUCAGCUCGUGUCGUGAGAUGUUGGGUUAAGUCCCGCAACGAGCGCAACCCUUGUCCUUAGUUGCUAACGGGUAAGCCGAGCUUUCUAGGGAGACUGCCCGCGAAAGCGGGAGGAAGGCGGGGAUGACGUCUAGUCCGCAUGGCCCUUACGGCCUGGGCGACACACGUGCUACAAUGCCCGGCACAGAGCGCUGCCACAUCGCAAGAUGGAGCGAAUCGCCUAAAUCCGGGCUCAGUUCGGAUUGGGGUCUGCAACCCGACCCCAUGAAGCUGGAAUCGCUAGUAAUCGCGGAUCAGCCAUGCCGCGGUGAAUACGUUCCCGGGUCUUGUACACACC
rnacentral:rRNA from 1 species